UGGGGAAUAUUGCGCAAUGGGGGGAACCCUGACGCAGCCAUGCCGCGUGAAUGAAGAAGGCCUUAGGGUUGUAAAGUUCUUUCGGUAUUGAGGAAGGUUGAUGUGUUAAUAGCACAUCAAAUUGACGUUAAAUACAGAAGAAGCACCGGCUAACUCCGUGCCAGCAGCCGCGGUAAUACGGAGGGUGCGAGCGUUAAUCGGAAUAACUGGGCGUAAAGGGCACGCAGGCGGUUAUUUAAGUGAGGUGUGAAAGCCCCGGGCUUAACCUGGGAAUUGCAUUUCAGACUGGGUAACUAGAGUACUUUAGGGAGGGGUAGAAUUCCACAUGUAGCGGUGAAAUGCGUAGAGAUGUGGAGGAAUACCGAAGGCGAAGGCAGCCCCUUGGGAAUGUACUGACGCUCAUGUGCGAAAGCGUGGGGAGCAAACAGGAUUAGAUACCCUGUAGUCCACGCUGUAAACGCUGUCGAUUUGGGGGUUGGGGUUUAACUCUGGCGCCCGUAGCUAACGUGAUAAAUCGACCGCCUGGGGAGUACGGCCGCAAGGUU
rnacentral:rRNA from 1 species